CGUGAGGCAUGCUGGAGGUAUCAGAAGUGCGAAUGCUGACAUAAGUAACGAUAAAGCGGGUGAAAAGCCCGCUCGCCGGAAGACCAAGGGUUCCUGUCCAACGUUAAUCGGGGCAGGGUGAGUCGACCCCUAAGGCGAGGCCGAAAGGCGUAGUCGAUGGGAAACGGGUUAAUAUUCCCGUACUUGGUGUUACUGCGAAGGGGGGACGGAGAAGGCUAUGUUGGCCGGGCGACGGUUGUCCCGGUUUAAGCGUGUAGGUGUGUGUUCCAGGUAAAUCCGGUUCACUUUAACACUGAGGCGUGACGACGAGGCACUACGGUGCUGAAGCAACAAAUGCCCUGCUUCCAGGAAAAGCCUCUAAGCAUCAGGUAACAUCAAAUCGUACCCCAAACCGACACAGGUGGUCAGGUAGAGAAUACCAAGGCGCUUGAGAGAACUCGGGUGAAGGAACUAGGCAAAAUGGUGCCGUAACUUCGGGAGAAGGCACGCUGACACGUAGGUGAAGUGAUUUACUCAUGGAGCUGAAGUCAGUCGAAGAUACCAGCUGGCUGCAACUGUUUAUUAAAAACACAGCACUGUGCAAACACGAAAGUGGACGUAUACGGUGUGACGCCUGCCCGGUGCCGGAAGGUUAAUUGAUGGGGUCAGCGCAAGCGAAGCUCCUGAUCGAAGCCCCGGUAAACGGCGGCCGUAACUAUAACGGUCCUAAGGUAGCGAAAUUCCUUGUCGGGUAAGUUCCGACCUGCACGAAUGGCGUAAUGAUGGCCAGGCUGUCUCCACCCGAGACUCAGUGAAAUUGAACUCGCUGUGAAGAUGCAGUGUACCCGCGGCAAGACGGAAAGACCCCGUGAACCUUUACUAUAGCUUGACACUGAACAUUGAGCCUUGAUGUGUAGGAUAGGUGGGAGGCUUUGAAGUGUGGACGCCAGUCUGCAUGGAGCCGACCUUGAAAUACCACCCUUUAAUGUUUGAUGUUCUAACGUGGACCCGUUACCCGGGUUGCGGACAGUGUCUGGUGGGUAGUUUGACUGGGGCGGUCUCCUCCUAAAGAGUAACGGAGGAGCACGAAGGUUGGCUAAUCCUGGUCGGACAUCAGGAGGUUAGUGCAAUGGCAUAAGCCAGCUUGACUGCGAGCGUGACGGCGCGAGCAGGUGCGAAAGCAGGUCAUAGUGAUCCGGUGGUUCUGAAUGGAAGGGCCAUCGCUCAACGGAUAAAAGGUACUCCGGGGAUAACAGGCUGAUACCGCCCAAGAGUUCAUAUCGACGGCGGUGUUUGGCACCUCGAUGUCGGCUCAUCACAUCCUGGGGCUGAAGUAGGUCCCAAGGGUAUGGCUGUUCGCCAUUUAAAGUGGUACGCGAGCUGGGUUUAGAACGUCGUGAGACAGUUCGGUCCCUAUCUGCCGUGGGCGCUGGAGAACUGAGGGGGGCUGCUCCUAGUACGAGAGGACCGGAGUGGACGCAUCACUGGUGUUCGGGUUGUCAUGCCAAUGGCACUGCCCGGUAGCUAAAUGCGGAAGAGAUAAGUGCUGAAAGCAUCUAAGCACGAAACUUGCCCCGAGAUGAGUUCUCCCUGAGACUUAGAGUCU
rnacentral:rRNA from 1 species